AUGAAGAACGUAGCGAAAUGCGAUACGUAAUGUGAAAUGCAGAAUUCAGUGAAUCAUCGAGUCUUUGAACGCACAUUGCGCCCCCUGGUAUUCCGGGGGGCAUGCCUGUCCGAGCGUCAUUGCUGCCCUCAAGCACGGCUUGUGUGUUGGGCCUCCGUCCUCCUCCCGGGGGACGGGCCCGAAAGGCAGCGGCGGCACCGCGUCCGGUCCUCGAGCGUAUGGGGCUUCGUCACCCGCUCUUGUAGGCCCGGUCGGCGCUUGCCGACACAUCAAUCUUUUUUCCAGGUUGACCUCGGAUCAGGUAGGGAUACCCGCUGAACUUAAGCAUAUCAAUAAGCGGAGGA
rnacentral:misc_RNA from 1 species